ensembl:lncRNA
CAGCUCCCUCCAGCCUUUCUGCUUCGAGGGGCCAAUCCUGGUCCCAGUCUAGGAGGAGGCUCGGCUCCCCCAGACCCAGCCGGGUGGGCAGGCUGAUGGAGGGCCCAACUGCUGGAUGUCCCAGCUUCCAGCCAUCAUUCCUGCAUUUCCUGUUAUGAUUCUUGUGCGAUCGCUGUUUUUCUGCACCUAGAAAGAAGGCAGGGUGUGGAGAUAGUUAGCAAGGAAUUGCUGAAGGCCCGCUGUGUGCUGUGACUUUCAAAAGAACUGUGAAGCGGCCGGGCAGACGCCACUGCUAGUUGUUCAGUCGCUAAGUUCCUGUCCAACUCUUUCCAGCCCAGUGAGCUGCAGCUCGCCAGCCUUCCGUGUCCUUCACUAUCUUCCUGAGUUUGCUCAGACUUACGUCCGUUGAGUCAGUGAUGCCAUCCAACCAUCUCAUCCUCUGCCACCUCCUUCUCCCCUUGCCCUCGUUUUUUCCCAGCAUCAGGGUUUUUUGCCAGUGAGUCGGCUCAGGUGGCAUCAGGUAGCCAAAGUAUUGGAGCUUCAGCAUCAGUCCUUAUAAUGAAUAUUCAGUACUGGUUUCCUUUAGGAUUGACUAGUUUGAGCUCCUCGAAAGUCCCUUGGACUGCAAGGAGAUCCAACCAGUCCAUUCUGAAGGAGAUCAACCCUGGGAUUUCUUUGGAAGGAAUGAUGCUAAAGCUGAAACUCCAGUACUUUGGCCACCUCAUGCAAAGAGUUGACUCAUUGGAAAAGACUGUGAUGCUGGGAGGGAUUGGGGGCAGGAGAACAAGGGGAUGACAGAGGAUGAGAUGGCUGGAUGGCAUCACUGACUCGAUGGACGUGAGUCUGAGUGAACUCUGGGAGUUGGUGAUGGACAGGGAGGCCUGGUGUGCUGUGACUCAUGGGGUCGCAAAGAGUUGGACACGACUGAGCGACUAAAUUGAACUGAUACACCUGUGACAUCAUUGCCACAAUUAAGAUAAUGAAUAUUUCAUCAUCCACAAAAGUUUCCUUGUGUCCCUUGUUACUUCCCCCAUCCCCAAGCAACCACUGACCUGCUGUGUCCAUAAAGUAGACUAUGUUGUCUAGGAUUUUUCAUAAAUGAAAUCAUACCGUAAGUACUGCUUUUUCCUUUUA